ACGGGAGGCAGCAGUGGGGAAUAUUGCACAAUGGGGGAAACCCUGAUGUAGCAACGCCGCGUGAAGGAAGACGGUCUUCGGAUUGUAAACUUUUGUUCUUAGUGAAGAUAAUGACGGUAGCUAAGGAGGAAGCCACGGCUAACUACGUGCCAGCAGCCGCGGUAAUACGUAGGUGGCAAGCGUUGUCCGGAAUUACUGGGUGUAAAGGGAGCGCAGGCGGGAAAUCAAGUUGGAUGUGAAAUGUCGGGGCUUAACCCCGGAACUGCAUCCAAAACUGAUUUUCUUGAGUGAAGUAGAGGUAGGCGGAAUUCCGAGUGUAGCGGUGAAAUGCGUAGAUAUUCGGAGGAACACCAGUGGCGAAGGCGGCCUACUGGGCUUUAACUGACGCUGAGGCUCGAAAGUGUGGGGAGCAAACAGGAUUAGAUACCCUGGUA
rnacentral:rRNA from 1 species